rnacentral:rRNA from 1 species
GACGAACGCUGGCGGCGUGCUUAACACAUGCAAGUCGAACGGAAAGGCCCCUGCUUGUAGGGGUACUCGAGUGGCGAACGGGUGAGUAACACGUGGGUGAUCUGCCCUUCACUUCGGGAUAAGCUUGGGAAACUGGGUCUAAUACCGGCUAGGACUUAUGGCUGUAUGCUGUUGUGGCGAGUUUUUCGGUGUGGGAUGGGAUAGCGGCCUAUCAGCUUGUUGGUGGGGUAAUGGUCUACCAAGGCGUCGACGGGUAGCCGGCCUGAGAGGGUGGACGGCCACACUGGGAUGGAGCUAAGGCACAGACUAGAACGCGAGGCAGCGGUGGGGAGGGGUGCACUAGGCGCGGAAGCAUAGCGUAGUCAAGCAGUGUGGGGGAUGACGGCCUUGGGGUUGUAAACUACUUCCGUUUGGGACGAAGCGAUAGUGACGGUACCGGGAGAAGAAGCACCGGCUAACUACGUG